rnacentral:rRNA from 1 species
AUUUAACGCUGGCGGCAGGCCUAACACAUGCAAGUCGGGCGAGCGGCGGACGGGUGAGUAAUGUAUGGGGACUGCCUGAUGGAGGGGGAUCACUACUGGAAACGGUAGCUAAUACCGCAUACCCUCCGAUCCCCCAUAUGGGAUUAGCUUGUAGUUAAGGUAACGGCUUACCUAGGCGACGAUCCCUAGCUGGUCUGAGAGGAUGAUAAGCCACACUGGGACGCGGAAACGGCCCAGACUCCACCGGAGGCAGAAGGGGGCAAAAUUUCACAAGGGGCGCAAACCUGAUGCAGACAUGCCGCGUGUAUGAAGAUGGCCUGCGGAUUGUAAAGUACUUGCAGAAGGGAGGAGUGACCGAAAGAAGAAGAACGGGCUAACUCCGUGCCAGCCGCCGCGGUAAUAC